rnacentral:rRNA from 2 species
UACGGAGGGAGCUAGCGUUGUUCGGAAUUACUGGGCGUAAAGCGCGCGUAGGCGGUUACUCAAGUCAGAGGUGAAAGCCCGGGGCUCAACCCCGGAACUGCCUUUGAAACUAGGUGACUAGAAUCUUGGAGAGGUCAGUGGAAUUCCGAGUGUAGAGGUGAAAUUCGUAGAUAUUCGGAAGAACACCAGUGGCGAAGGCGACUGACUGGACAAGUAUUGACGCUGAGGUGCGAAAGCGUGGGGAGCAAACAGG